GCUUCCAUGGUGUAGUGGUCACUGCACUCGCUUUGCACGCGGGAGACCCGGGUUCGAUUCCCGGUGAGGUA
rnacentral:tRNA from 1 species